CGCAAAUGCAAGCUGGGAAAUUCUUAAACGACAGCGUUACACGUCCACUCCUUUUAUAAACGAAACCGAUCGGGAAAUUUGAAGGUUGAGGUGCUCCAAAAGUCUCACGACAAAGAAAAAGAGAAUGGAGAAGAAGCAACAGGAGAUAGAUGGCGCCGAGGAAAUUCCCGCGCCUAAUCAGAAGUUCUCAGUCCUUAACUGUAUAGAUCUCUCCAGCCCCGAUAUCCAGCAAUCUGUUUCUUUACUCAAACAGGCGUGUUUGGACAGUGGAUUCUUUUACGUGGUAAAUCAUGGAAUAAGCGAAGAAUUCAUGGACCAGGUUUUCUCGGAGAGUAAGAAGUUUUUUGAACUCCCAUUAGGUGAAAAAAUGAAGGUUCUUAGGAACGAGAAGCAUCGAGGCUACACUCCUGUCCUCGACGAGCUUUUGGAUCCUGAUAAUCAAGUACACGGCGAUUACAAGGAGGGCUAUUACAUUGGAGUUGAAGUGCCUGAAGAUGAUCCUCAAGCAGAGAAGCCAUUUUAUGGGCAAAAUGUUUGGCCAGCAGCCGACCUUUUGCCUGGUUGGAGGCAAACCAUGGAGAGGUUUCAUGAAGAGGCACUAGAGGUCGCAAGAUCAGUUGCAAGGAUCAUAGCACUCGCACUUAAUCUGGAAGCUGAUUUUUUUUAUAGGCCUGAAAUGCUUGGCCAGCCAAUUGCAGUCAUGCGCUUGCUACACUACGGAGGUGGAAUUUUUAAUUAGAAGUCAUGGAAAUUCAUUCUGGACUUUGGGCCAUACUGCCAGUCUCUGGUCAAUAAAACUUAUGUAUUGUUCCUUUGUUUUUAUUUCCUUUUCUUUUGCGGUCAGCUCAGAUUUCUGAUCCCUCAAAGGGAAUAUUUGGAGCCGGAGCUCAUUCUGACUAUGGUUUGAUUACCCUUUUAGCCACAGAUGAUGUCGUUGCCCUUCAAGUAUAAAUACUAGCAUAAUUUUUUCUUUUUGUAUAUAUAUUAAGCUUAUUUGCCCCUUUUUUAUUCACAAUUUGAUUAGUCAUCGCAAUUCUUAUAAUCCUCUUGCAGAUAUGCAAGAAUAAGGAUGCUCAACCUCAAGUUUGGGAAUAUAUAGCUCCAAUAAAAGGAGCAUUCAUAGUGAAUAUUGGUGAUAUGCUGGAGCGCUGGAGCAACUGUAUUUUCAGGUCCACAUUGCAUAGAGUUGUCGGGAAUGGUCAAGAGAGAUAUUCUAUAGCAUAUUUCGCGGAACCUAGUCAUGAUUGUUUAGUUGAAUGCUUGCCCACCUGCAAGUCCGAAAAAAAUCCUCCCAAGUAAGUUGAACCACAAUUUGUUCUUAGCACUACUGAAAUUAUUGAUGGUAACUUACUCAUCCUUGUACAUUGCAUCCAGGUGAAUUAAUUAUACAUGCAUGUAAUUUUCACUUCAAUAUGUCUCAUGACCACAUUGUGUCAAAAAUAAUGGAUACCAUACAAAUGAAUAUAAAAUUAUGUAACUGUUGCCCUUAAACCAGGGUGGUAUCAAUUGAAAACCAUUUUGGACCACAUAUAUGUUGGAAAAUUAUCUUUUGACUGGAUUUGCGAACUAUAGGGUGAUGCAAGUCACAAGCAAUUUAAUUUUAUGUUCUUAAAAAAAAAAAAAAUCUCAUGAGGGGACUACUAAUAGUUAAUUGAUAAAGUACAUGAUCACAUUGCUUUUGUCAAGUGGUUGAACCAAAUAAAACUUAACUUUCUCUCUUGUAAUUAUUUAUUUGAUAACGUCUUGUUUUAGUUAUUGAGAUGCGUGCACUAUAUCAGCAUAUUUGAAUGUUGAGUUUUGUUUGAACUUUUAUCUAAAUGUUCGCUGGAGCAUUGCACGCAUAGUAAUUCCUCGUAAUCACCAGCUCUCCACAAUUUCAAUUUUUAAGAUGACUCUAAUAGUAGGCAGCAGUUCCUUAUAAAAAAACAAUAGGCAGCAGUUACAUAAUGAAAUAAAUAAAAAGAAGAAGAAAAAAAAAUGGAAGUGUGUAUUUAAGUUUUACAUUAACUAUUUUAAUGACCUGCUGCAUGUGUUUCUUUCAAUCAGGUUUCCUCCAAUCAUAUGUGGGACUUAUCUUAGUCAACGCUAUAAGGAUACUCAUACUGAUUUGAGUGUAUACAACAAACAUCAAUCUUGAGCUUGCCAAAGAAUUAAGAUUCGGAAGACACAUCCUCCUGAAUCUUGGUGGUGAUACAGGUCACCACAAAUUAGGAGUGCUAGCUGCUUGGUGAGUGACUGAGUGGUGCGCAAGUCUGUUGCCUUUUGAACAGUUUGGGUAACUAAUUCAGUAAGCAGGUUUUCAGGGGUUAGUUUUACGCAGUAGGCCUGUUCCUCCAAGAUUCAAAGUGAGCACUUUGUGUAAGGACAUGGGUAUGGAUAGAGCUCAUAAACUUCUGAUUCGAUUUAGUAUUCUCGCUAGCCCAAACCACCACCGGCUUCUUCAAAGUCAAAUGAAUUUUUAACUCUUGGAAAAUUGAUGUCACAAAGUCUUAAUUAUUUAUUAUCAUGAAAAAAAAUAUUGUUUUGUGUUACAACUUUUUAAGCACAUAGGCUAAGCUGCAGCUUCACAUCAAAGGAAAACACGAUUACAACACAAAGCCCGUGAUACUGAUGAUUCAUAUCAGAAUCUUAU
rnacentral:misc_RNA from 1 species